rnacentral:tRNA from 1 species
GGACCCUGCGGGCCGGCAGGGGACGGUUAUCAUCGGUAGAGCGCCGCGGGCUUGUCCCGCGGAGGUUGCGGGUUCGAUCCCCGCCGGGGGCCGC